rnacentral:rRNA from 1 species
UACGUAGGGGGCAAGCGUUGUCCGGAUUUAUUGGGCGUAAAGAGCGUGUAGGCGGUUUGGUAGGUCCGCUGUGAAAACUCGAGGCUCAACCUCGAGACGCCGGUGGAAACCAUCAGGCUUGAGUACGGAAGAGGCGAGUGGAAUUCCUGGUGUAGCGGUGAAAUGCGCAGAUAUCAGGAGGAACACCAAUUGCGAAGGCAGCUCGCUGGGACGUUACUGACGCUGAGACGCGAAAGCGUGGGGAGCAAACAGG